GCUAAGUCCAAGUGGGAAAUCACGAGGAGAGUGCAAGUCCAGUGAGGGCGGCAACAGCCAUGAGGACGCCAUCGUCUUCUCCAGCCACCGUAACCCCAAACUCCGCCAUAGUUACUGGUACCCAGCAGGCCUCCAUUAAUGUUGAAUGAAUGAAUGACGGCGUGGCAGUGAUGGUCUCAGGGCUACAAUUCCCUUCCCACUCUCCUCUGCCUGUGAAACCCUAGCUAUUCUAAUUCAACAUAUGUGAAUGGAAUAAACAUCUCCCUUAUCUCUACAGUUUGUAAUGGAAUAGGAAUUGGUGAAUUUAAAGACACACUUUCCAUAAAUGCUACAAAUAUUAAACACUUCAAAAAUUGCACCUCAAUCAGUGGAGAUCUUCAUAUCCUGCCAGUAGCAUUUAGAGGUGACUCCUUCACACGUACUCUACCUCUGGAUCCAAAGGAACUGGAUAUUCUAAAAACUGUAAAGGAAAUAACAGGGUUUUUGCUGAUUCAGGCCUGGCCCGAGAACAGGACUGACCUCCAUGCUUUCGAGAACCUAGAAAUCAUACGUGGAAGAACAAAGCAACAGUAAGUUGACCUUACCCAAAGCCUGGUAGAUUAUUUGUUUAUCUAUUUUCAAAAUAAGACCCAACGAAGAGUUUGAAAGUAGACUUAUACAGCUGUUACGAAGAUGCCCCAGAGAGCUAUCAGGUAUCCUCCAGCCAGCUCCCACCACUGUUAACCUCUCACCUCCAUGUGGUUCGAGUACGAAAUGAAGAAAUUAACGUUGCUGCAGUGCUGACUUCAGCACCAGACGUCACUCAGACUUCAGCAGUGUGCCUGUGAACGCCAUGUUGCACCUGGCUGUUCUGUCUUCUCAGUCCCUUCCAGUCUACAGCAGUCCCUGCGCCUACUCUUACCGUCUAGAGCCUUGACAAUUUUAGAAAGUCCUGGUCAAGCGUUCUGUAGGGUGGCUGAUGUUUUCUCAUGAUUCGAUUGAGGUUGUGGAUUUUUGGCAAGAAGAGCACUGAGAUGACAUGUCCGUCAUAUCAGAGGGAGCUGAGAGACUUUUUAACAUUAAAUAUUUUGUUCAGGAUUUUCACUUCUCCAACUCUAACAGCGAAAUACUCACAUGUAAGCAUCUAUAAUAUAGUAAGAGUAAUAAUGAGUUUUGUGACAGGGAAGAGUUUGAGAAUCUCUUUGACAAACCUGCCUUAGAUUUCUAAGGAUGCGGAGAAAUGUUACCUAUUAAUUGACCCCUAAAACAACUACCUGAUAUCAUUCAAUAUUAAAGAAAAUGGAAUAAGUACACAUAAAAUAUAUAUUACUUUUUAAAAACCAUCUUGGCUGUGCACCCCUGAUACUAACCACACAGUGAACAUUGCUUCCCAGAAAAAUCCUGUUGUUCUGAGUUCUCAAAAAUACUUCUUUUGCCCAAAAUUCAUGCAGAGAUAAGAGAUUUAGAUCAAUUUUCUUGGGUGACUGGCACGUACCCCUUGGCUUAGUUUUAUGAAUUUAAACAGAAGUAGGAUUACUUUUUUUUUACUUUUCACAUUUAAUGAGGAGUCUGGUGGUACAGACCACUGGCUGCAGGUGCAGCUCACCAGAGCAGGUGAUUCCAGCAUCAUCCCGUGUCUGGGCUUCUGUGGGCACACGUUGAGAGAGAAUUUCUAAACACUAGUGCUGCAGGUCUCCUACACAGGGCUGCUUGCUUUCCUCAGGAGCCAGGUUGUGGGAAGGGAGGAGAAGGACAGGGUCGGGAGACAAAGAGAAACAAGGGGAGGAGGAAUCUCCAAAUCAAACUUCUGUCAUCUCACGCCUGAUGUCUCCUCAUAUGGCUCUAUCUCAGCUGGUCCCUUCCCUGUCCUGGUGUCCAGUGAACUUCCUGAAACACAGAUCUCUUUCCUGUGGUUUCCAUUAUUUGCAGACAACAGCCAGGCUCAGGGUGUCCAAGGUCUUCUGUGCUCUGGCCUUUCCCAUCCUCCCCAGACACCUCCCCAAGCCUUCCCGCUUCCAGGUUUCUGCUCCAGCAGAAGCUCCUGGUCCUCAGCACCUAUCGGCUGCUCUCUUGCCUUCCUGCUCUUCUGGUGGUUCAGGACUUCCCUCCCUUCAGUGUGAAUUACUUUCGUCCAGUCACUAUUGGUAGCUAUUGAUAGCCUUACAGAGUUCUAGCACAGAGUUGGGUGGCUCAAAUAUUUGUUCAGUAAAUGGAUGGAUGGGUAAAUGGAUCAGUGCAUCAGUGGAUGGAUGGAUAGGCGGAUGAGUGGGUGGAAUGGAUGGGUGAACAAGAGGU